rnacentral:rRNA from 1 species
AGCGAACGCUGGCGGCAGGCCUAACACAUGCAAGUCGAAGGAAGUCUUCGGACUUAGCGGCGGACGGGUGAGUAACACGUGGGAACGUGCCUUUAGGUUCGGAAUAACUCAGGGAAACUUGUGCUAAUACCGAAUGUGCCCUUCGGGGGAAAGAUUUAUCUCCUUUAGAGCGGCCCGCGUCUGAUUAGCUAGUUGGUGAUGUAAAGGCUCACCAAGGCGACGAUCAGUAGCUGGUCUGAGAGGAUGAUCAGCCACAUUGGGACUGAGACACGGCCCAACCUCCGACGGGAGGCAGCAGGGAGGAAUCUGGCGUAAUGGGCGCAAGCCUGACGCAGCCAUGCCGCUGGAAUGAUGAAGGUCUUAGGAUUGUAAAAUUCUUUCACCGGGGACGAUAAUGACGGUACCCGGAGAAGAAGCCCCGGCUAACUUCGUGCCAGCAGCCGCCGUAACAC